rnacentral:lncRNA from 1 species
CAAUUUGAACUUUGUCAUUAAGUGAAGAAUAAAAAGCAACUUUCUUUACAUGGUCAUGUAGAGUUAUUUUGAGGGGAGACUGGCUAAGAAAGUCAAAGAAGGGAAAAUGAAACAUCCUAGAUCAGCUUCUCAGUGGCUUUUGAUCCUGGCUGCACACUGGAAUCACCUGGGUAAAUUUUUUCCACUGGCAAUUAAAUGUCAUGGGAAAACUUGACUGAAAGAGAUUANNNNNNNNNNNNNNNNNNNNNNNNNNNNNAAAAAAAAAAAAAAAGGUGACUCCACCAAACAUCUCCCCCAGAAUGUUUGAGUGGAGUUGCACCAGCCAGCCAAAGCCGUGAUAGCUGGUAGUACUGAGAUAGAGUCCUGCCCUAACCCAUAUGUAAUAUCUUCUCCAGCUCUGGGAAGACGAGACAUGAGACAGUCCUGAAGAAAAGUGAAAUGACUCAGAAUCAUUUGAAUUGCUCAUACUUGUCAGCAAGCCAUUUGAAUUAAAAUGAAAGCUGCUGAAUUAAAACAUCCCUGUUGGAGAUCUUACAAUAGCAGGGGCCAUGAGAUGGAAACAGGUGGUAGGAGGCACUUACCAAAAGGAAGACAGAGAGGUCAAAGCCAUGUUACCACACUGGGACUCUUGUAGUAGGAUAUUGUUGAAUAUAUGCCUAAUAACCACUUGUCCACCUUCCUGGCUCAGUAACCCUGUAUAGCAAUCUGCCAGCCCCAGGAAACAAAUUAUGAUAUAUGUAAGUCAGCACUUUCUAAGCUAUGGAAUAUGAUACACUUGUGAGUCAUAAAGUCAAUUUUGUGAGUCAAAACCAGCAACAACAAAUUGUAUUUUUUUUCCAUAAAAGACAUCAACAAAUGUUACAAUGUUAACUUAAAGUUUUGUGAGUUAAACUAAUAAUACAUUAAGUAUACUCAAGAAUUUAGAUGCAUCUUACUUUUUAAAAAAUAAAAUCAUGUAUUUUAGACUUUAGGAUAUAAAGUCACUUAAAGACAAGAAUCACACUUCCUCAGGGCUUUUACUAUAUAAUAAAGUCAACAGAAAAGUGAACCCUUGAAAAGAAUGGCUAAAUCCAUUAAUCAGUAAAUGUCCAUAGAGUAAAUCUGUAGAGUACAACAAAUAUGGUGUUUCAUAUAUAUUGUGGAAAUUUUUUCCCCCAACCCAAACUAUUUAUAGGAAAGUAAGCUAUCUAUGUUUUCUAUCUUGAACCCUUGGAGCAUAUUUCAAACAAUAAUAAUAGCAAUAACUAAUCUUUAUUAAAAAGCAGAGACAUUACUUUGCCAACAAAGGUCCGUCAAGUCAA